UCUGCUCCUAGUGUGUCAAGGAAGAGGCCCCCCUUCCCCGAGCUGGACGGUCGCCCUCUCCCCGCUGCACUGAACCACCCCCAGGUAUGCAGGACUAAUGCCAAAUGAUCUGAAAGUUGUCUUUGAUGCCCUGCUUGUGAAAACCUGAGUGAAAGACAGCUCAACAGCUUACGCCUCAGUGGAAGAGAACAAGGCUGUGGAGAACAGGGCUGUACCACUCACCGUCCCUUGGAUGAACGCUGUGAUUUCUUCCUCUGGCCUUUGCUCAGACACUCUCUUCACCGGGAAUGCCCUUUCCACCCACCCGGACAUGUAAAACACCUAACACAACGCCUGACUCAGGACCUCUAUAAAUACUUGUUGAAUACUUGUUGAAUACUUGUUGAACACUACAUCAUAAGAGAAGUUUCUGUGCUCUUGGAGAUGCUGUCCUCUACCCUCCAGGGUCCAGCUCAAGCAUCAUCUUCUACAGGAAGCCCUCCCUAGUGCCCACC